AGAGGGGUUUAAAAAUAACCAAAUCAAUAGGAAUCAUUAGGAUAACAACGCUAUAUAAUGUUGCCUUACAAAUGUAGUACUACAUAUUAUUGGAAUAAAUAGCGAAUAUGUUUAUAAACUAUCAUAUACACGUGAAAGGAGUAAAACUUGCGAUAACCGAAAUGAGAAUUACUAUUUCUAUAAAAAUAGUUGGACGAAAAACGCGAUAAAUCUUUGAUUUUUUCGGCAACUUCA
rnacentral:lncRNA from 1 species